GACAGAGGGGGGCAAGCGUUGCUCGGAAUUACUGGGCGUAAAAGGGCGCGUAGGCGGGGAUGGCAAGUCGGUCGUGAAAUCCCUCGGCUCAACCGAGGAACGUCGAUCGAUACUGCUGUUCUUUGAGGAUUGCAGAGGAGACUGGAAUUCCCGGUGUAGCGGUGAAAUGUGUAGAGAUCGGGAGGAACACCGGUGGCGAAGGCGGGGUCUCUGGG
rnacentral:rRNA from 1 species